rnacentral:rRNA from 1 species
AUACGGAGGGGACAAGCGUUAUUCGGAAUCACUGGGCGUAAAGGACGCGUAGGCGGGUUAUUAAGUCGGGUGUGAAAUCCAAUGGCUCAACCAUUGAACUGCAUUCGAAACUGAUAACCUAGAGUAUGGAAGGGGCAGGUGGAAUUAGUGGUGUAGGGGUAAAAUCCGUAGAUAUCACUAGGAGUACCGAAAGCGAAGGCGACCUGCCGGGACAUUACUGACGCUGAGGCGUGAAAGCGUGGGGAGCAAACAGGAUUAGAAACCCGGGUAGUCC